ensembl:lncRNA
UGUGACACCACGCCCUGGACUGCGUACAAGAAAGUGCAGACUAGAAAGUGAAGACCCAGAAAUUGAAUGGAAAGAAAACAAAAAGCCAUGAAAUGAGAGUUAACUAAAGUGAGAAAAGAGAGUAAUAAUUAAAAAAAGACAAAAUCAGGAAGUUCCCCGGUGGCCUAGAGGUUAAGGAUUCCGCAUUGUCACUGCUGUGGCUCAGGUUUGAACAUUGGCCUGGGAACUUCUGCAUGCCAUGGGCCCGGUCAAAAAAAACCCCAAACCAAAAUCAUAUUAGAAGUGAAGACUAGAUUACACCUGGGUAAUAUAUUUAAAUAAAAAGAUAAAAGAAGGCAUUGCAAAAAGGCAUAAAGAGAAUCAAGAGAAUGACAAUCUAAUAAACUAGGUAAACAGGUAUCAGUGCUUAUAAUGGUUUCCUACUACAAAACAGAUGACUGCCACAGCAGGUUAAAACAAUACACAUUUGUUUUUUUCAUAGUUUUUGUGGGUCAGAGGUCCAGUUAUAACCUAAAAACUGGGUCCUCGGAGUUCUUGCUAUGGCACAGAGGGUUAAGAAUCUGACUCCAGUGGCUCGCGUUGCCGCAAAGGUUAGGGUUUGAUCCCUGGCCCAUGGCAGUGGGUUAAAGAAUCCGGUGUUGCUGCAGCUGGGGCUCAGAUUUAAUCCCUGCCUGGGGAAUUUCCAUAUGCUCCAGGUACGGCCGUAAUCCCCGCCCCCCGCCCCAAACUAGUCUCUUCUUCAGGGUCUCAGGCUGCAGCUGAGGCAUUGUUCAGACUGUUGUGUUCCUUACUGGGGGCUCUACUGUCCAAAUUCAUGCAGGUUGUUGGCAGAAUUCACCUGCUCCAGAUGGGAGCUCUGAGGUCCCUGAUUUCCUGCUCAGCUCCUAGAGGUCACCUGCAGUUUCCUGCCCCAUGGCACUCUCCCAGGCUUAGAGCCAGCCAAGGAGAGUCUCUCCAGCACGCUAAAAUGAAGUUUUUUGUAAGAAACGUAAUCAGAAGUGACAUCCCAUCGCCUCUGACCUAUAUCUUAUUCACAGACCUCCCGUCACCUUUGACCUAUAAUAUCCUAUUCACAGACAUCCUGUCACCUUUGCCAUAUUAUCCUGGUUAGAAGCAAGUCACAGGUCCCAUUAACUUUCAAAGGAAGAGAUUAUCCGAGGACUUGAUUCAUUGGAUGUCACUUUAGAAUGUGUCUGCUCUCCGGCCUUUGAUGAGCCUUGUCCCUUCCACGUGAACAAAUCAUCGUCCCAUUCCAAGUUUCCUUAAAGUCUCAUUCCAGUAUAGCAUCGGAUGAAAGUCCGGAAUCUCAUCAUCUGAAUCAGGUGCCGGUGAGGAGGAGGCUACUGGUGGUACAACUUUGUGGAGCUGUGAAACUAAGAGGCAGGAGAUCUGUCUCCAGUACAGCCAACUUAAAGUUGUCAGGCAGGCGUUGGGUAACUGCUAUAAAUAUUUCUGUCCAAAAAGGAGUUGCUGGUCCAUGGCAAUUCUGAAUUCCAGUUGAGAAAACUCCAGCCAGAGUCCUUGGUUAAAUUUCAGAGACUAGGGACAAUCCAGGUCUGAAGUGGGAAAGGCCAAUGUUUGUUCCUAAAAGGUGGCAACUGGCCAGCUGUUAUUUCUCUGACUAGUCUUUAGGGUACCUUGGCUCUCUCUCUGGAUUCUUGGCCCUGCCCUAUUGGUCAACUUUUUUUUUUUUUUUUUUUUUUUGAGGUCAUAGGAGGUAGCCCUUGCUUACAGUGAGUAGUUUCAUCAGCCUGCUUCCUGCCAGUGGAAUCUGGGGAGUCUGAUAGCCUCCUUUCACGUUGUGCUUCCUCCUUUAAAUCCAGGCAGCAGUAUGUCUUUUUUUUUUUGUUUGUUUUAUUAUUUAAAAAAAUUAUUAAAGUUGAUUUACAAUGUUCUGUCAAUUUCUGCUGCACAGCAAAGUGACCCAACUCUACAUCCAUAUACAUUUUUUUUUUCACAUUACCCUCCAUCAUGUUCCAUCGCAAGCGGUCAGAUAUAGUUCCCAGUGCUAUACAGCAGAAUCGCAUUGCUUUUUUAAAAAUUUUAAAGCAUUUUUAUUAAAAUUUUUUUAUUAUAGUUGAUUUACAAUGUUCCAUCAAGUUCUGUGAGAAGUUUCUUAAAACCUUUGGAUAUCUUCUGUGGAUUUUUCGUGAUGCGUUCCAUCAGACUGAAGCCACAUCUAAAAGGACACAUCUGUCCUUUUAGCGACAAUCACUUCUCUGAGUUGGCCCUGCUGGGAUGACUGAGAGGAUUGGCGAGCCGCACGUUUCAUCUCUUGAGAAGGCUCUUUGCAUGACUGAAUUCUCUAACUACUUGGUAUAUAAAAGGAUAUAUACGUAUAUAUAUAUAUGACAGGAAACAGACAGGAAACGGAUUUACCUAAAAUAUCAUGAGCCAGAAAACACCGGUAAAUAUUGGGUGCUGCAGGAAAGGCAGUGUAAGAGAGGUUUUGGGUGAGGAGAUGAAAGGGAGGCAAGAGACAAAUCUGAGCAGAAGCCAGGAGGAGUGGAUAAUGGGGAAAGGGGUUGUACGAGGGUGUUAUUUUAAAACUUGCCCUUGGAUAAGCAAUGAGACCGUCCUGUAUAUAGCACAGAGAACUGCAUCUAGUCUCUUGGGAUAGACCGUAGUGGAAGAUAAUAGGAGAAAAAGAAUGUGUAUAUAUAUAUAUGUAUGACUGGGUCACUAUGCUGUACAUACAGCAGAAAUUGACGGAACACUAUAAAUCAGCUAUACUCUAAUUAAAAAAUAAAUGAAAAAAACCUUGCCCUAUGUGGCAUGAUUCAAUUUUCUCACUGCCACAUCCUUGGAGACCUAAAUUACAUUAAACAUUUUAGAAUUGUAUUUGGUUUUUCUUUUGAUAUAAAACUGCUAAAGUACACUGAUUCACUGGAAGUUCAAGGUCCCUCUUUCCGUCCUAGGACAUUGGCAACCACAAGUGUAUUAAUUGGGCCAUGUAUACCAGCAGAUGGAGACAUUGCACUUUAGAAAUUCAAGGCAACCUGAACUUUCCCUUCUCCCUUUCAGAUGUGGAGUGUGGCAUUUCUUCCUAGAGGAUGGGAAACCAGCUCGGCCAGCUCUCAUUGCCCUGACUAGUCCUUUCACAUUUCCAGAAUAUGUCGAAAUCAGAGAUGUGGUUUUGGAUGUUUGGGAAGCAAAGAAGCAUAAAAUGGAGCAGAAGGUAAAGCCAGCUUUUGCCUGAAGAUGGAGUUCAGUCUUUUUACAUGUUGUAGCAGAACCUGCACAGAUCAGAAGCCUGAAACUAUCUUUAUCUUAUGUGGGAAUUGACACGCUUUGUGGUCAGGAAAGCUGGUCUUCUCACACCAAGGUCAAGUGUGGCUGUAGGAGGCGGAGCCUGCAGGUGCAGCAGCAUGUGGAGGGUACUUCUGACGCCCCCCUUCUCUCGAGGAAGAGAGUGUCCUAUCCCAGUCGGCGUUCCCAUCUUCCCCCCUGGACAACCUCAGACUUUUAAUGGCUUCGAGGUUUAGACCACAUGUGCAAGUGUGAGAUAUUUCUCUUCUCAAUUUUUUUUUUGUGGUGUAUGAUAGGAAGUCAUUAUUUUAAUUCU